rnacentral:lncRNA from 1 species
UGGAGAUUGAGAUUAGGGCAGAUUCUUACAUUUCUUUUUUUUUUCUUUUUUCCCGAAAGAAUGUAUUCUUUUUGUCAACAGGGGAGAAAAACAAUUAAAAGAACUUGAAAAAAUCUGCCCUCAUAGGGUGCACAUUCUAACAGAUGGGUAAUGGAUUUAUGUUUCUGAUUUCUCGGUGGACACAGCCAGCAGGCUGGGUGCAGUUCUGAAUCUCUGUUGGAAGACAUGGCCCCCAUCAGUUUUCAAUCUGUGACAAUCUGGGAACAGAGAACCAGAGACGGAAGUAGAACCUGAUGAUCUUUGACCCUCAAGAUCUUGCACAAUCACAGCAUUAUGCACCUGCAAAACUGGAGAUGAUAACUGUCACGAUAAUUAUGACUUGCCAGGGAGGGAGGCGUGUUAUGGAAUGUCAAAGUCGUGUCCAGGCAGAGUAGGCUGAGGAAUGAUGGCUUCAUGUCUGCCUGUCUUUCUCUACCUUUGCACCCACCAGCCUAGCUUGGGCCUCUUCACUUCAUUCCUGGGCUUCUAUCAUGGUUUCCAGGAAUCUCCUAAACUGAAGACCUCCUCUGCAACAAUCCGCUUAGCCUAGGAUGGCUAGAUUACACUCCCAACACAAAGUUUUGUGCAUGCUGCCUCUCACUCAAACACUUAAACAAAAUUCCAGAUCAUUAUCUUGGCAUCCAAAGCCCUCUCUAGUGUUGCCCCAUCUACCCUUUUAAUCUUAUCACUGAGUCACUCUCUACAUCUGUCUCCUUGGUCCCACCAAAGUGGACCUCUUUGCCCCCAACCCGCCUUGCUCAUUCCAGGCUCUGCCUCUGACAUAGUUCAAUAG